AUUUUAUAUAUAACAAGGUUCUUGCAUACAGUUGAUUGUUACAAAGUAUAGUUCUAAUGUAAUUUUGCCUGUGUCAUGAUUUGUCGACAAAUGAUGGUAUAUUAUGAUAGACGAGUGGAAAUUUUGUUAAAUGGAAGCUUGAUGGACACCUGUUAAUGAGGAUAUACGUUCGAAAAUGAGUGUUCGCAAUAGGAAAUGAGGCUGAAAGCAUUCUUUGGAAUUAAGGGCGUCCACGCCCUGAUACAGCGGCGUACCGAAUGAAAAAAGAAGUAGCAUCGUAUAGGACCAAUUAUCCUUGUUGACUAAAUGGGGUCAAUAUUCAAGUAAGACAGAGAGGCAAUGAAAAAAAACGUUAACGAGGCUAAUAGUGUAAUAAACCGACUUAUGAAUUCGAGACACGCACGCUGCUGCCGGCAGAAUGCCAGAGAUUCGAUGACCUUGCAAUCGUUUGCUAUACUUGAGAUCUUUCCAAAUUUAUCAGUGGCAAAUAACAAAAUUUCAUAAAAUCGUGCAAUUCAAUUAUUUCACAGAUAUUUCUUACUUUUCUUUAUAUUAAACCUUGUAUUAAUUUAAACUUUGUAUUAAGCGACCCAAACAAUGAUACAAACAAGUUUCAGAGAAAUUCAUCAUUAAAAGAUAACUCGAUCGACCAAUAGAUGUGUACGCGUUCAUCCUCGUGCAGUUGCAAUGCAAUGCCAGCUUUGAUGGGAUUGGCGAGCAACCCUUCCGGUAAUGCACCCUCCGUGACGUAAGCUUAACCCAUAGUUGUUCGAAGACGUCAUAACAAAGAUUGAAGACAGUUCAAGUUCAAAUUGUUCUUAUAAUAUACAAUAAAUACUUAUGACAAAGCGACUAAGACGCUUAAUGGACUCGAGGCACGAGCUUUGAAAGGAGAACAUUUGGACGAGAGUGAAAAGAUAUACAAUUUUUUGUCGCAUGAAUCAGCAGCAAUAAUUUGGACAGGAUCGAUUGGAAUUCCGUAGAUUUCACGAAUUAUCUGGUGAACAGUUUGCGCGACGUUGUAACAUGAAAUAGCCAUUUCGAUCGUGUGGCUGGAAAAAAAAACGAGGCAACUAGGAGUGGAAAAAAGAAAGAAGAAACGAGAGUCCAUUCACGAGGAGUUUAGCUGGCUAAGGUCACGGUGCAACAAUCUUCCGGCUGUUGGUAUGCGAUCGGAUGGAAGGCGCAACGAAAGUAUGCGUGGGUGCACACUCUGGGUUCACCAUGGGUGCUACAACCCUUAACCUUUUCACGCAUUUACGCGGUCAUGUACCCCGUUGAUUCAUCUUUCUGAUACAACAAUUCAUGCUGCACAAUAUUUACGCAGUCAAAUUAAUAAAUAGUAGAAUUUUUGUGACUUUCUUUUUUCACUUUUAACGUUAUCAAGAAUUUUACGUUCGACCUAAAUAUUUAUCUGUAUGUAUUGUAAAAAACCUGCCACAUGAUUCGAGUAAUUCGAUCUCUUCUCAGAUCUCUUCAAAGAUCGAACUUUCUCGAUUAACCGUGACCUCCCGUUUCAAUGAAAAUGAAAUCCUGCAUAUUCUACAAUCGAUUACGCUAUAACCAAGUAUCCUGUCAAGAAUAUCAGCCUAUAGAGAUUAUUAAGAAUAUUUUAACCAUCAUAUUUUUUACCUUAUAUUUUUUCUUCGUUGCAUAAUUUAUUAGUAGAAAAUUAUUUGCUUUUCACAUCAAUAUAUCUCUUCGCAGAGAACAACAGGACAGGACAUUGAGUUUGACUUUCUCAUCUACAUUGGAACACUAGCUCGCAACGUACAACAGGGUGAAUAUCCGUCUUGACCGUUUACCUUGUUGAUAAGAGAGCGAGGACCGUUGAAAGGUCGCUUCACUGUACUCCAACCCUUAACCUUUGGCGCCAGCCAUUUACAACACUAAUUCGAUUAGUCGAAUUGAAUAUUUUAGUUAUGAAAGAACGUUGACUAUCAUUCUGAUAAAAAAUAAUACGCUAUGUAUCUUAUAUAUAAAAUUGAUACGAAUUUGUGGUGAGAAAAAAAGUAUUUCCAUUUUCCAACAGUUUCCACAUGGCAUUCAAUGCACGCGCGCGGCAUUAUAAUUGGCAGGUGAUAAGGCUCUCUGCAUCGAUAAGCUGUUUGCGCGGCGAUUGUUGGGUUAAUUCGGCCGAUUAACAUGAAACAUUUUUUUUCUUCCCUUAUCGAUAAUCUCGUAUGGCGUAUACACAACCCUGAUUUUUCGCGACGAUCGUUGCCUAAAUUAACUUCGUGCAUUUUGUGUAAGAUGUUAAUAUAAAAAUUGCUCACAUGAAAAUCAUCCACAACUUACGACUAUUUGUAUCGUAGUGCCACAUAGGCUCGAUAUACAAUAGAACAAAAGCGUUCCACUCAAUCAUCUACGAAUUACUUAAUAUUUGAUAUAUUAAGCAGGGCUUUGAUGAAUUACUAUAAUUUCUAUAUAGUUAAAAGAAGGCUUAUCUUGACGCUUUGAAAAUCAACUAGUUUCAUUCCUAAAAUAAAAAUGGUCGCAAAUGGUUUUAGAGUAGAUUGAUUAUCAAGAUUCAACAGUAUCAAGAUUCAGUAAGAGAAAGACCAAGGUUCUUUCUGAAAUCUUUUGAAAUAUAUUUUGCAGGAUAGUUUGAAAAUAAUAUAAUAAUGUAUGAUGGAAAUAAAUUA